rnacentral:rRNA from 1 species
UACAGAGGGUGCAAGCGUUGUUCGGAAUUAUUGGGCGUAAAGCGCGUGUAGGCGGCCGGACAAGUCGGGUGUGAAAUCCCUCAGCUUAACUGAGGAAGUGCGCCCGAAACUGUCUGGCUUGAGUGCCGGAGAGGAUGGCGGAAUUCCCCAAGUAGAGGUGAAAUUCGUAGAUAUGGGGAGGAACACCGGUGGCGAAGGCGGCCAUCUGGACGGUAACUGACGCUGAGACGCGAAAGCGUGGGUAGCAAACAGG